rnacentral:rRNA from 1 species
UACGGAGGGGGCGAGCGUUAUUCGGAAUUAUUGGGCGUAAAGGGCGCGUAGGCGGCUGUACAAGUCAAAGGUGAAAUCCCUCGGCUCAACUGAGGAACUGCCUUUGAAACUGUACGGCUUGAGGCCGGGAGGGGGUAGCGGAAUUCCCAGUGUAGCGGUGAAAUGCGCAGAUAUCAGGAGGAACACCGGUGGCGAAGGCGGGUCUCUGGGCCGAUACUGACGCUGAGGAGCGAAAGCGUGGGGAGCGAACAGG